CUUUCCUUCGUGAGACAGCUGUUUUAUAAGCUGUUAUGAACAGCUUUCAUGUGACUGGAUUUCUCAUCCCAUCUGGUCGGCAAGGUGCCCCAGUUUAUCAGACAUAUAAGGUCGACAAGUUCAGCACUAACCAUUGCCAUAUUUUGCUCCAGGUUUAAUAUAAACAGGGUAUCCGAGUUCCUGGCAGUGCCAGCUGGAAGAACCACAGGCCGAUGCCAACAUCCCCCUUUUACCUGGCAUUGUGCCCUCUGCGUGCCCGUGCCGUGCACUGAGUUGCCGCGACAACCAAAGCAGUGAAGUGGAUCAGUCCCAGCUGCAGCCCAGAGCACAGAGCCGAGGGGCUGCACAUGUCGUCAGCCCUGGUUUGCAUUAUGCAGGUCUGACUGCAGGGAGUUUGAUUAAUGGCUGGAGUCAGAGGGGACAGACACAGGAGCUCAGGGGGAGUUGCGCACAACAUGCAUCUCCGCCAAUACAACAACUAGAUGUAAGUGGGUUUACCCACUAGCAUGGCAUUUUUCAGCCCUGUAUUUUGCUUAUGCACAGAAACAUAAGAGAAACCUACAGCUGUUGGAUGAAUAACAAUAUUUAAUAUUCACGCAAUCUUAUUAAAUGUCAACGAUUAAGCUAUGUCUAUAAAACCAUUGAAAAGUAUAAUCACAGCAGAACAUUCCAAUCUGUAUUGGCGCUGCUGCUGACCCAGAGUGAGCAGUUGCCACAUAGGUAUGAAACAGCUUCACAAGCAGCCUGUUUAACCACACAGUGUUAUUAUUUCUGUGUUACAGUAUUCAAAUGAACACAGAAGUACGGGGAUAAAAGUUUAUAGUUCGGUUAAAAAUACUGAUGUCUGCGAUAGCAAACAAAAUAGAAUAAAUCACCUUUUGAAAUUUGACGCUUCAAAUAAAGAUUGUAUCAAUUACAUUGUUACACCAGUAGGUGGUGACA